GCGAGCAGAAUCCCAAGUAUUGAAGAAUUUUCUAAGGCAUGCAAAGGCUCAUCAAGUUUCAAAGCCUGUUUAUGGCGAGACCAGAUGCCAAGCGUGCCUAGGAUCUGCUCGACCGUGCGAAGGCGAGCAGAAUCCCAAGCAUUGAAGAAUUUUCUAAGGCAUGCAAAGGCUCAUAAGCUGUCAAAGCCUGUUUAUGGCAAGACCAGAUGCCAAGCGUGCCAGAAUCUGCUCGACCGAGCGAAGGCGAGCAGAAUCCCAAGCAUUGAAGAAUUUUCUAAGGCAUGCAAAGGCUCACUAAGUCUCAAAGCCUGUUUAUGGCGAGACUAGAAGCCAAGCGUGCCAGGAUCUGCUCGACCGCGCGAAGGCUAGCAGAGUUCCAAGUGUUGAAGAAUUUUCUAAGGCAUGCAAAGGCUCAUUAAGUCUCAAAACCUGUUUAUGGCGAAACCAAAUGUCAAGCGUGCCAGGAUCUGCUCGACCGCGCAAAGGCGAGCAGAAUCCCAAGCAUUGAAGAAUUUUCUAAGUCAUGCAAAGGCUCACAAAGUCUCAAAGCCUGUUUAUGGCGAGACCAGAAGCCGAGCGUGCCAGGAUCUGCUCGACCGCACGAAGGCGAGCAGAAUCCCAAGCAUUGAAGAAUUUUCUAAGGCAUGCAAAGGCUCACGAA
rnacentral:lncRNA from 1 species